CCUACGGGUGGCAGCAGUGAGGAAUAUUGGUCAAUGGUCGCAAGACUGAACCAGCCAAGCCGCGUGCAGGAUGACGGCUCUAUGAGUUGUAAACUGCUUUUGUACGAGGGUAAACGCAGACACGCGUACCUGUCUGAAAGUAUCGUACGAAUAAGGAUCGGCUAACUCCGUGCCAGCAGCCGCGGUAAUACGGAGGAUUCAAGCGUUAUCCGGAUUUAUUGGGUUUAAAGGGUGCGUAGGCGGUCGGGUAAGUUGGCGGUGAAAUCCCGAGGCUCAACUUCGGCAUUGCCGCUGAAACUGGUCGGCUAGAGUGGGAUGGAGGUAUGCGGAAUGGGUGGUGUAGCGGUGAAAUGCUUAGAGAUCACACAGAACACCGAUUGCGAAGGCAGCAUACC
rnacentral:rRNA from 1 species